rnacentral:rRNA from 1 species
CAGCAGCCGCGGGAAUACGUAGGGUGCAAGCGUUGUCCGGAAUUAUUGGGCGUAAAGAGCUCGUAGGCGGUUUGUCGCGUCUGCUGUGAAAUCCCGAGGCUCAACCUCGGGCUUGCAGUGGGUACGGUCAGACUAGAGUGCGGUAGGGGAGAUUGGAAUUCCUGGUGUAGCGGUGGAAUGCGCAGAUAUCAGGAGGAACACCGAUGGCGAAGGCAGAUCUCUGGGCCGUAACUGACGCUGAGGAGCGAAAGCGUGGGGAGCGAACAGGAUUAGAUACCCCCGUAGUCCCUGUCUCUUAUAC